rnacentral:rRNA from 1 species
AUUGAACGCUGGCGGCAGGCCUAACACAUGCAAGUCGAACGAGUGGCGGACGGGUGAGUAAUGUCUGGGAAACUGCCUGAUGGAGGGGGAUAACUACUGGAAACGGUCGCUAAUACCGCAUACCAUCGGAUGUGCCCAUAUGGGAUUAGCUAGUUGGUGGGGUAAAGGCUCACCUAGGCGACGAUCCCUAGCUGGUCUGAGAGGAUGACCAGCCAGACUGGGAGCUAGAGACGGUCCAGCACCCAACGGGGGGGAGGAAGGGGGAAUAUUGCACAAUGGGCGCAAGCCUGAUGCAGCCAUGCCGCGUGUAUGAAGAAGGCCUUCGGGUUGUAAAGUACUUUCAGCGGGGAGGCGUUACCCGCAGAAGAAGCACCGGCUAACUCCGUGCCAGCAGCCGCGGUAAUAC